UACGGGGGGGGUAAGCGUUGUUCGGAAUUACUGGGCGUAAAGGGCGCGUAGGCGGUCAGCACAAGUCAGUUGUGAAAUCUCCGGGCUUAACUCGGAACGGCCAAGUGAAACUGUCAAGCUAGAGUGCAGAAGGGGCAAUCGGAAUUCUUGGUGUAGCGGUGAAAUGCGUAGAUAUCAAGAGGAACACCUGAGGUGAAGACGGGUUGCUGGGCUGACACUGACGCUGAGGCGCGAAAGCCAGGGGAGCAAACGGG
rnacentral:rRNA from 1 species